GCGGCGUCUCGCCGUCCGCCUGGGCUUGGGCCUCGGGGGCGGACCUGGAGCCCGGUGACACUGCGCUCCGGCCUCACCGCUCCGUGCCUUGGCCCUGGCCGCCGCCAUCUUGCGGAGAUUUCAUUCAAACUGGCGCGGUCACCGGAAUAACUCAGAGGGCUGCCUGCCCCGCCCCGGCCCGCGAGGGACUCGGAGCUGGGAGGCUGUAAGGAGCGAGGCGUUCUGACGUCAUGGAGGCCGAGCCCCGCCCUGGUGGCCACCGCGCCUGCGCCGCGCGGUGGGGCGGGCGGGGGCGGAGCUUAGCCCUGGAAACUGGCCCCGCCCUUCGGGGGGCGAGUUACUGGCUUUGACUUCGGAGGAUGCUUGCCAGGAUUCCCAGGAGAUGCAUCGAGGCUCUUCACAAAGACCUGCUAGCCACAAAACACAAAAUAGGCUGUGCGGGGUUAGUGUGCGCAGAGCGUAGAAGAGUGAGCCUGAAGCCCCUCAGGAAAACCGGGUCUUCCAUGUGUAACAACUUUGUUUCCUGACGACAUGGUUACCAGGGACAGGAUCUCAUCAAGUUUUCCAGACUGUCUCUGAAUUCCUGGGUUCAAAUGAUCCUCCUGCCUCAGCUUCCUAGAUAAGCUGGACCGCAGGGAAAUGCCAUGCUGCUUGGUCAUAAGACUCUUUAAGAAGACCGGCUUGCUAUUGAUUUGGAAGAAGAAAAUCAGAAGAGGCUGCGGGGCAGGCACCACAUUCUUUGGGACAGAAGGGACAGAUUAGGAUACUUCUCAAUUUUCAUAACCAUUACUGAAAAAAUUGUGAUUGAAUUGUGGAGCUUAUCUUUUCUGACUUGAAUGUUCUCUGAGAAAUAGAGUACAAUGCACACUAGAUUAAAAAUGUGAAUUUAAGUAAGCA